UACGGAGGGGGCUAGCGUUGUUCGGAAUUACUGGGCGUAAAGCGCACGUAGGCGGACCAUCAAGUCAGAGGUGAAAUCCCGGAGCUCAACUCCGGAACUGCCUUUGAAACUGCUGGUCUGGAGAUCGAGAGAGGUGAGUGGAAUUCCGAGUGUAGAGGUGAAAUUCGUAGAUAUUCGGAGGAACACCAGUGGCGAAGGCGGCUCACUGGCUCGAUACUGACGCUGAGGUGCGAAAGCGUGGGGAGCAAACAGGAUUAGAUACCCCCGUA
rnacentral:rRNA from 1 species